UUCUAUUUUGGCAGAUUAAUUGCAUCAAAUUUAGAAUUUGAGGAUGAACUAUAUUCAAAUAGAAA
rnacentral:tRNA from 1 species